UUACCCAGUAGAGUGAGGCAGAGAAGACAAGCAAAGAUUCUUGCCUCGAAUCUUUCUGUUUAAAAUAUGUAUCUACAUAAUAUGAGUGGUGCAUCAUCACUGGCAAUUUUGAAAUUCCCCAGUUAAUCUCUAGAAGCAGUUUUGUGAACUUACUUGCAGUAUCACGGCCCACCCAGUGGUUACCAAAAAUAGAAAUUGAAGUCAGGGAAUAUCUGAGGCUACCAGAUUGAUUCUAUUCAGGUCGCUAAAUGAUUCACAUAAAGUGUAACCCAACACACCCUCCGGGUCACAAGAUGCUUGAGGAUGAUCACUUCUCCCCAGGACACCGCCCCAGCAGCAAGUAACAGCCUGCCUGGCAGCGAGCCUUGCACGGGCCCAUCCCCACCCGCUCACAGGCACACACUGGCUUGUUCAGGAGGCUAUCAGACAAACAAAUUAAGACAGACAUGUGAAUACUGCCAUGCAAUACAGAGCAAUGGAUGGGAGGAAAGUCCAUAUUUUGUCGUCUUAUCUCCAGGAAGAAAUGAAGGCGGGAAGAGUAAGAAUGAUGCCCUGUUCCUUAACAAAACACUUUGUGCAUUCUUUAUUGUGUCAUAGCUGUGCAAGGAAACAAAGCUAUUGCAUUUUAUUUGGGCUGGAAAUGUAAAAUCUUUAAAAUAUAACUUUUAGAAGGAAGGCAGUUGCUCUUUUUCCUCGUGUCUUAUCAUGAGAGUCAUUUGAUCCAAGAUACUGCUCCUUAACUUACGCUUUUUAUUUGGAAGAAACACUAACGAUACUUCUUAGGGAUAUUGUACAGAGAAAGUAGGUUGCACAUUUAACCUUAGGAACAGAAACUGCUGUUGCUUAAGUACCGCUCACCCUUUCACCACCUGAGAUGAAGAAUGACUCAACCAUAUGAUGAAACAGAGAAAGCCAUGUUUCUAAUGAGGCCAGAGCCUGAAGGCAGAAACCCUUCAAGAGCUGAAUUUCCCAUUUUGUUGCCAACAACAAAUAAACUCAGUGUUCCUUCAAUGACGAUUAAUCCGGCAAAAACCAUGCAGAAAUGAAGGAGCUUUAAAAUGAUCAUCAUUCAUCAACCCAACCAUCUCCCUUGGAUACCCACUUCAUUACUAAGAGAGUAAUUAUUUUUGUGUUGUCAGUUUUAGGGAAAAGCCCUUGAGGAUUAUUCAUUGGUAAUUGGAAAAAUAAAUGUUAAUGUCUUCUGUGGAUUAGGAAAGAAUGUUUUAUGACUAACUGUUUAGACGCUUCUGUUGCAUUGCCUGAGUUUGGAAGCUUCAUUGGUUUUCCAGCCAAGGCUUCAUAAAAGCUUUCAAAUUACCUGUAGCUGUCAGAGAGGAGUCUCCUCAAGGAGAUGGAUGAAGCUUGCCCACGAUG
rnacentral:lncRNA from 1 species